GAGGUAGUGGAGGAACUGCACGUGGCGGCGAUCGGCCUAACGGACGUGCAGUUCAGCAGGCAGAUCGCGAGCAUUGUAACCCGACUGGAAAAUAUGGCGCCGGUGACAAUCGGUCGGGCGUACAGCCUGACGCGCGGCUCCCUCAUCGCCGUGCUGCAUUCCGUGCUGGGUUUCGUAA